AUUGAACGCUGGCGGCAGGCCUAACACAUGCAAGUCGAGCGGAUGAAGGGAGCUUGCUCCUGGAUUCAGCGGCGGACGGGUGAGUAAUGCCUAGGAAUCUGCCUGGUAGUGGGGGAUAACGUUCGGAAACGGGCGCUAAUACCGCAUACGUCCUGAGGGAGAAAGUGGGGGAUCUUCGGACCUCACGCUAUCAGAUGAGCCUAGGUCGGAUUAGCUAGUUGGUGGGGUAAAGGCCUACCAAGGCGACGAUCCGUAACGGGUCUGAGAGGAUGAUCAGUCACACUGGAACUGAGACACGGUCCAGACUCCUACGGGAGGCAGCAGUGGGGAAUAUUGGACAAUGGGCGAAAGCCUGACCCAGCCAUGCCGCGUGUGUGAAGAAGGUCUUCGGAUUGUAAAGCACUUUAAGUUGGGAGGAAGGGCAGUAAGUUAAUACCUUGCUGUUUUGACGUUACCAACAGAAUAAGCACCGGCUAACUUCGUG
rnacentral:rRNA from 1 species